GGAGGCGUCGCCUAGAUCGGCCUAUGGCGCUGGUUUGGAGUACCAGUUGGGGCGCAAGCCCCUCGCGAGUUCAAAUCUCGCCGCCUCCG
rnacentral:tRNA from 1 species